UCUAGUGGAUUAUUAUUUUUAAAUAUAGUAAUAAUUUUUAUAAUAUGGAGAACAUUGAUAGAUAUGACCAGUGAAGUGCUGGUAAUCUGGCUCUCUAAAAAUAAAAAGCACUGAAUUGAGCACUCGUCAAUUGCUGUGGUGUAAAUAGUCCUACCAUGGCCAAUUUCAAGCCGCCAACCUGACAUCACCCAAGAAGGAAUUGUGAAGAUGUGGAUGAUAGCAGAGAGCUUCAUGCUGAUGUUCCAGUUGUUGCUGCAUGGGCAGAGGGGACAUUGUGAAUGAAAGAAGCCAUUUGUUAUACUGUCCACGUCCAACCGACAGAAAAGAAGGCUCCCUUUGAAACGUUUGUGUCUGUUAUGGACUGCUGAGAAGUCGUACACAGGAUGGUGGUGACAGCGGCAUUUUCACAUGUAGGGGUAGUGAAGCAAUAUGACUGGCUGCUGGAAUACAGGAGGCAGAAUCCUCCCACAUCCUCCCUUGAAAACAUCUGCAAGUGUCGGAGAUCCCCAAGUUUUCUAGGCUUGAAUUAUGGACUAUAAUCUCGUCCUGCUUUCGUCGCUCCAUCGCCUCACAAAUUCUCUGAGCUGGAUUAGGCCGUUUCCUUGCAGUUGGAUUAUGUAUCCAUGAAGUGAAAACCUAUACCACACCUGUGUAUACAGAUGGAGACCCAAACAUCAGUCCUGCUCUAUGAAGGUGUUCAGAGGUCAGUGAUGGUGUGCACCUCAAGGACCUAUGGAAGGGGAGGUCCAUUUCUGAAGGCUUUGUGAAAGUUGCAGUCUGCCCGUCCUGCCGUCUUUUACUCUAUUUCAGGCACGAUGGGGCCUCUCGGAAAUACAAAAGCUAACAAGUGGAGGGACAGUAUUAAAAUGUGCCCAAGUCUUCUGGUUGCAUAUCAGUGUCGCCAGGAUCAGACUAGAGAAAUCUGAAAUCUCUGUACACCCCCCCCCCGAAAAAAACCUAAAAAAAUC
rnacentral:lncRNA from 1 species